rnacentral:lncRNA from 1 species
AUCCACUUCAAUCAGUGUAUAUGAAGAGGAGGACACAGGUUAAAGAAGGAUUUUUAAGCCUUGAUACAAUUGAGACACGGAUUGUGUAUGUCUGCCCUUCAGAGGGUGAAUGGAUGAAGUGACAGGGCACUGAGUCAUCAUCAUAAAGUAGACCCAGAGAUUCUACAGUUUGACCCUGACCUGAAGCAACUGUGCAGUAAAGCAGCCAGUGUCAGGAACCUUGACUCCCAGGUCAAAGUAAUAUACAACGGAUGACGGAUCAGUUAAGAAACUGAUGCUCUGCAAGGGCCUCUCCAUUACUGGACCUGACACAUCCACGCAACUGAACCCUUCCAAGCCCAGCCACUAAUCCACACAUACACACAGACUUUUUCCUGCUGAAAUUCUAACAUGUCCAAAAGCGAAUACUGGAACAAUACUUCUAACAUAGAACGUGGGGAAUGGUCAGAGGCAAUCUAUAGAGCACUAAUGUCAUUUUGUUUGUUAUUUUGUGAUGACGUUAAAAUGUUAUAAAGGAAAUACUGUAACUUGGAAAGUAUACC